ACUCCUACGGGAGGCAGCAGUGGGGAAUCUUGCACAAUGGGGGCAACCCUGAUGCAGCGACGCCGCGUGAGCGAUGAAGCCCUUUGGGGUGUAAAGCUCUUUCGGCAGGGAAGAUUAUGACGGUACCUGCAUAAGCAGCUGCGGCUAACUACGUGCCAGCAGCCGCGGUAAUACGUAGGCAGCGAGCGUUGUUCGGAGUUACUGGGCGUAAAGGGUGUGUAGGCGGUUGCUUAAGUUUGGUGUGAAAUCUCCCGGCUCAACUGGGAGUGUGCGCCGAAUACUGAGUGACUAGAGUGCGGGAGAGGAAAGUGGAAUUCCUGGUGUAGCGGUGAAAUGCGUAGAUAUCAGGAGGAACACCGGUGGUGUAGACGGCUUUCUGGACCGUAACUGACGCUGAGACACGAAAGCGUGGGUAGCAAACAGGAUUAGAUACCCUGGUAGUCCACGCCCUAAACGAUGCAUAUUUGGUGUGGGUCAUUCAGUUGAUCCGUGCCGGAGCUAACGCGUUAAAUAUGCCGCCUGGGGAGUACAGUCGCAAGGCUGAAACUCAAAGGAAUUGACGG
rnacentral:rRNA from 1 species